rnacentral:rRNA from 1 species
AGCGAACGCUGGCGGCAGGCCUAACACAUGCAAGUCGAACGAAGUCUUCGGACUUAGUGGCGGACGGGUGAGUAACACGUGGGAACGUGCCUUUAGGCUCGGAAUAACUCAGGGAAACUUGUGCUAAUACCGCAUGUGCCCUUCGGGGGAAAGAUUUAUCGCCUUUAGAGCGGCCCGCGUCUGAUUAGCUAGUUGGUGAGGUAAAGGCUCACCAAGGCGACGAUCAGUAGCUGGUCUGAGAGGAUGAUCAGCCACAUUGGGACUGAGACACGGCCCAAACUCCUACGGGAGGCAGCAGUGGGGAAUCUUGCGCAAUGGGCGAAAGCCUGACGCAGCCAUGCCGCGUGAAUGAUGAAGGUCUUAGGAUUGUAAAAUUCUUUCACCGGGGACGAUAAUGACGGUACCCGGAGAAGAAGCCCCGGCUAACUUCGUGCCAGCCGCCGCAGUAA